rnacentral:lncRNA from 1 species
UAUCAUUAUUUUAAAAAAGCCCUUUUGAAUUCCAAUGUCCUUUUAGUUCCAAAAAAGGCACAACUCUGUCUCAUGUGGUAUGGUGAAAUGAACAAUUUUGUGAUCAUGUGAGAAAGUUAGACUUUAGUUGUUAAUCAUGCCACCUCAAAAGUAGGUUUUUUGAAUUCAACAUUUGCCACUCUUACAACUAGUCUUUUUGUAAAAAUCAGGUUUCUUAUUUUGCACCUUAAAAAGUUUAAAAUUGUUUUCUGUGUCAGGUGAAUCUUUUAUUAUGAGAUGUCACUUUUUUUUUAUUGGUAUCAUUUCAUGUAAUAAUUUUUCUAUGUAAAAUGAUAUUUAGGCUGAGAAAGAGAAAACUUAUCAAAGCAUAUAAAUCUGUAUCUGAAAUAAUCAUUUUACUGUUUAUUUUAAACUUUUUAUUUGGACUACUGGGUUUGUCUUGCAUGUAUAUGAAGAUGUAUUCAACUUGUCAUAUAUUUGGUAUGAAAAUGAAUAGCUGUAAAAAGCAAACUUUAAAAUAUAGUUCUUGAUAGUAGGCCUUUACAAUUCAUAUUUAAUUUUUUUUUAAAUAGAUUUUUAGGUUGUCUACACUUUUAGGACAUUUUAAAAAUAUCACAUGAAAAGUAGGAGUUCCCGUCGUGGCGCAGUGGUUAACGAAUCCGACUAGGAACCAUGAGGUUGAGGGUUUGGUCCCUGCCCUUGCUCAAUGGAUCCUUAACCCACUGCGCAAGGCCAAGGAUCAAACCCGCAACCUCAUGGUUCCUAGUUGGAUUUGUUAACCACUGAGCCAUGAUGGGAACUCCCAUAAUCACUUUAAAUGUCAAUGGACUAUACUCUCCAAUCAAAAGACAUAGGAUGACUGACUGGAUAAAACAACAACAACAACAACAAAAACAUGUUGCUUACAAGAGACUCAAAGUUAAAAAAAAAAGUCUGAAAGUAAGGGAUGAAAAAAGAUAUUUCACCAAAGAAAUGACAAAAAAGAGGGGGUGCCAAUACUCAUGUUAGACAAAAUGGGGUUUCAGACAAAGUCUAUAAGAAAAGAGAAGGGUGUUUUAUAAUGAUAAAGAUAUCAAUACAAUAAAAGGAUAUAAAACUUGUUAACAUAUAUGCACCCAAUACAGGAGCAUCUAAAUAUAAAAAGUAAAUAUUAAUAGACACAAAGGGAAAAACUGACAACAAUACAAUAAUAGUAAGGGAUUUUAACACCCUACUUACAUCAUCAAUGGACAAAUCAUCCAGAGAGAAAAUCAUUGGUCUUAAAUAACACACUAGAUCAGUUGGAACUUAAUAGAUACCUACAGGACAUUCCAUCCAAAAACAGAAGAAUACACAUUCUUUUCAAGAGCACAUGGAAUUUUUCCCAGGAUAAAGCACAUACUAGGCCAUGAUCAAUGGGAAUUUAUUCCAGACACCCAAAUAUGUUUCAAUAUCCACAAAUCAAUCAAUGUGAUACCCCACAUUAACAAAAUGAAAGACACAAACCACACGAAUGCAGAAAAAAAA